rnacentral:rRNA from 1 species
UACGUAGGGGGCAAGCGUUGUCCGGAAUUAUUGGGCGUAAAGCGCGCGCAGGUGGUGAAUUAAGUUGUGGGUAAAAGGCAAUGGCUCAACCAUUGUAAGCCUGCAAAACUGGUUCACUUGAGUGCAGGAGAGGUGAGUGGAAUUCCCGGUGUAGCGGUGGAAUGCGUAGAGAUCGGGAGGAACACCAGUGGAGAAGGCGGACUCUCUGGCCUGUAACGUGACACUGAGGCGCGAAAAGCGUGGGGAGCGAACGAGG